rnacentral:rRNA from 1 species
AACGAACGCUGGCGGCAUGCCUAACACAUGCAAGUCGAACGAGACCUUCGGGUCUAGUGGCGCACGGGUGCGUAACGCGUGGGAAUCUGCCCCUCGGUUCGGAACAACAGUUAGAAAUGACUGCUAAUACCGGAUAAUGACGAAAGUCCAAAGAUUUAUCGCCGAGGGAUGAGCCCGCGUAGGAUUAGCUUGUUGGUGGGGUAAAUGGCCCACCAAGGCGACGAUCCUUAGCUGGUCUGAGAGGAUGAUCAGCCACACUGGGACUGAGACACGGCCCAGACUCCUAACGGGAGGCAGCAGUGGGGAAUAUUGGACAAUGGGCGAAAGCCUGAUCCA